rnacentral:rRNA from 1 species
UCCUAGAAAGUGGCGAACGGGUGAGUAACGCGUGGGUAACCUGCCCUAUGGAAAGGAAUAGCCUCGGGAAACUGGGAGUAAUGCCUUAUAAUAUACGAGAGUCGCAUGGCUUUUGUAUUAAACGCUCCGGUGCCAUAGGAUGGACCCGCGUCCCAUUAGCUAGUUGGUGAGAUAACAGCCCACCAAGGCAACGAUGGGUAACCGGUCUGAGAGGGCGAACGGUCACACUGGAACUGAGACACGGUCCAGACUCCUACGGGAGGCAGCAGUGGGGAAUAUUGCGCAAUGGGGGCAACCCUGACGCAGCAAUACCGCGUGAGUGAAGAAGGUUUUCGGAUCGUAAAGCUCUGUUAUUGGGGAAGAAAAAAGACGGUACCCAAGAAGAAAGUCCCGGCUAACUACGUGCCAGCAGCCGCGGUAAUACGUAGGGGACAAGCGUUGUCCGGAUUUACUGGGCGUAAAGGGCACGCAGGCGGUUUUUUAAGUCAGAUGUGAAAGGUACCGGCUCAACCGGUGACAUG